rnacentral:lncRNA from 12 species
AUUAUCUCAAAGGUAGGGGGAAGAACCCAUUGAACUUGUUAGGACUAACAGUAUGGGAUUUGCUUUACUGGAAGAUCAUUACAAAUGCAGAUCAGGGAAGGGAUCAGACUCACAUGGGAGAAGAACCCACCCGGAGGCCAUCAGAUUCUUAGGCAGAGCACAACAGAAAAAAUGAAGAACAAGACACAGAGGGGAAACUAAAUCUGAAGAUACCCUGCCACACACAUUAUCUGGAUAAUGGGACUCACAAUUUGUUGGUGUGUCUUUAAUGACAUAGUGAAACCAUUAGCCUGUGCCUUCCAGCAGCGUAUGUCAGGAGAAUAUCUUUUAAAGAAUUAAAAUUAACCUCUGGUCACAUCAGGCAAAACAAGUCUCUGUUUCAGUACAAGUGUUAUGCAUCCAUGUGGUUAGUUUGGAUAAGAUAAAGACAACCAAGCCAUUUCUGUGCUAUGUUCCAUAGAAACUGAGCAAGCACAUAGCCAAACACCUUCCCAGAGCCAUAUCCCAUUUUCCAACUUACUAAAUUGUCAUUGAAGGCCUACUAAGUUCCAGGAACUAAAUUGGGUUCUAGAAGUGUCAAAUUUCAUUAUGUUGUUGUUUUUGUCCAUAAGGAUAAUUUAUUAAGAGCAGUGAAAUAAGAGACAAUUGAGUUUAGGGGUCAAAUAACUUGUUUCAAAUCAUAAUAGAGACACAUCAGCAGUGCAUAUUUGGGCAAGUCAUCCUUACUAAGCCUGUAUCCUCUUCUGAAAAACUGGGGGUGAUAAUAGUGACAGUACUAUGGAGUAAGUGGGAGGAAGCAUACAGUAAGCAUUCAACAAAUACUCAUUUUUAUGGGCUACAAUAUAAUGUGUAGAGUCAUGGCUAGAGAUGAGGAAGCAUUUAAUUCUGUAGAAGGAAAGCUGGAAUAAGGAGGUUUAAUAUCUGAGCUAUGUUUUAAAAUAUGAAUAUAAUUUGCCUGCUAGAAGGGAUGAUCUUAAGAGCGUGAAUACAUCAGUUCAACUCAACUAACUCAGGCAAGUAGUUCUUUUCCCUUGGUUAGAGCAUGGAGAUCAGAGGUCAAAAUCAGAGUAAAAAUUAGAGCUUCUGUACCUAAAGUAGGAAUGUCACAUCACACAAAGAGAAAAUUAUUAUUCUGUGACCUCAGGUCAUGCCCCCAAGCCCUACUUAAUGGAUAUUAAUGAUCAGUGGGCUGUUUGAGGCUAAUAGUGUAGGUUAAGCCCAUGGAGAGUUUAGGAUUAUCAAAAAUGCUAAAGAUCACAAGUAUUAUCCUUCUACAAUACUUGGAAGUUACCAAAUUAAUAAAUUAGGAGAUGCUUUAUUCUAUUUUUCUUUA